rnacentral:rRNA from 1 species
UACGUAGGGUGCGAGCGUUAAUCGGAAUUACUGGGCAUAAAGCGUGCGCAGGCGGGCUUUUAAGCCAGACGUGAAAUCCCCGGGCUUAACCUGGGAAUGGCGUUUGGGACUGGAAGUCUGGAGUGCGGCAGAGGAGACUGGAAUUCCUGGUGUAGCAGUGAAAUGCGUAGAUAUCAGGAGGAACACCGAUGGCGAAGGCAGGUCUCUGGGCUGACACUGACGCUCAUGCACGAAAGCGUGGGGAGCAAACAGG